UGGCAAGCGUUGUCCGGAAUUAUUGGGCGUAAAGCGCGCGCAGGCGGUCCCUUAGUCUGAUGUGAAAGCCCACGGCUCAACCGUGGAGGGUCAUUGGAAACUGGGGGACUUGAGUGCAGAAGAGGAAAGUGGAAUUCCACGCGUAGCGGUGAAAUGCGUAGAGAUGUGGAGGAACACCAGUGGCGAAGGCGACUCUCUGGUCUGUAACUGACAGCUGAGGCGCGAAAGCGUGGGGAGCAAACAGGAUUAGAUACCCUGGUAGUCCACGCCGUAAACGAUGAGUGCUAAGUGUUAGAGGGUUUCCGCCCUUUAGUGCUGCAGCUAACGCAUUAAGCACUCCGCCU
rnacentral:rRNA from 1 species